CAGUCGAACGGACUUUUCAUGAAGCCUAGCGAUUGAAAAGUUAGUGGCGGACGCGUUAGUAACGCGUGGGUAACCUGCCUUGUACUGGGGGACAACAGUUGGAAACGACUGCUAAUACCGCAUAAGCGCACAGCUUCGCACGAAGCAGUGUGAAAAACUCCGGUGGUGCAAGAUGGACCCGCGUCUGAUUAGCUGGUUGGUGAGGUAACGGCCCACCAAGGCAACGAUCAGUAGCCGGCCUGAGAGGGUGAACGGCCACAUUGGGACUGAGACACGGCCCAAACUCCUACGGGAGGCAGCAGUGGGGAAUAUUGCACAAUGGGGGAAACCCUGAUGCAGCAACGCCGCGUGAGUGAAGAAGUAUUUCGGUAUGUAAAGCUCUAUCAGCAGGAAAGAAAAUGACGGUACCUGACUAAGAAGCCCCGGCUAACUACGUGCCAGCAGCCGCGGUAAUACGUAGGGGGCAAGCGUUAUCCGGAUUUACUGGGUGUAAAGGGAGCGUAGACGGUUUUGCAAGUCUGAAGUGAAAGCCCGGGGCUUAACCCCGGGACUGCUUUGGAAACUGUAGAACUAGAGUGCAGGAGAGGUAAGUGGAAUUCCUGGCGUAGCGGUGAAAUGCGUAGAUAUUAGGAGGAACACCAGUGGCGAAGGCGGCUUACUGGACUGUAACUGACGUUGAGGCUCGAAAGCGUGGGGAGCAAACAGGAUUAGAUACCCUGGUAGUCCACGCCGUAAACGAUGAUUACUAGGUGUUGGUGGGUAUGACCCAUCGGUGCCGCAGCAAACGCAAUAAGUAAUCCACCUGGGGAG
rnacentral:rRNA from 1 species